CUCCCUAAUUCAGUCCAAGUGCAUUUACUUGGUCUCCAAGUACUACAACUUCUUCCUCACUCUACUACCAUGGUGAGCUCAAGAAUGAUGUCAAUGGCAUCACCAUAACCUUAUAAAUAAAGGAAAAUCUGCUCCCCAUUUCCACAACAAUUCAGUGAAGAUUAUCUAACAAAAAUCCCAAGACCUCUAGCUUUUUCUCUGUUUCGAAAUAAACCACCAACGCCACCUCUCGUGGCCACCAUAAACACCGCAGCUCCGCCACUGCUGCUACUUACUGCCACCACCGUCGUAACCUCCUCUCACUCACUAUACCAUGUACGCACGACCUCUAAACUCAAACAUCAAGUUCUAAUUGUAGCCCUCCGUUGCCGAAACUAAAACCCGAACUAACACCAUUUCUCUCUCCUCUGGCGCACCACCACUGUCACCAUAACGGCUUUGCUCCGGUGCCGAACCACCACCCCACCUCCAGGUUUUGACCGCCUAAUCUCCGACUACCUAAACCCCGCUUCACGCAAAGACCCCACUAUGUUUUCUUCCGUCGUGCUCCUCUGCUUCGUGUUUGUUGGUGAGAACCGUGAGACCAAAGUUGGUCUUUCUAACUCGUGGGCUUGUAAUCCAAAGUCAAACCCAUUAAAUAUUUAACCCACUCACCAAUUCUAGAAAGCUAAUUAGGGUAAGAUGACUUCCACUUGUUUUUAUUCAUUUCACUUGAUUUAUACGCAUAAGUUUUCCUACUAAUGUUUUCAAAGUACUAAUGUUUUAUUAAAAUGUAAUUAUAUUUUACUAAGAAAUAUUAUUGUCAUUAUUUUACAAAGGAGAUAAUUAAUUAAGGUUAUUUUUUCAUAGUUACUAACGGAUAAUAUAUUCCUAAAUACAAGAGUACUUGGUCCUCGAAGUUUAGGAAGAACGGUCCAUCAAACGGGAAAGAUAAAACUAUGGUUGAGGUAACAUCUAUUGCUAACUCUCACAAUCCCCUUAUGAACUGUGUUUUAUGAGAUUAUGAAAUAUGUUUAUAAUAUGAUUUUUAUUGGAUUGUGGGAUCUGAAAUGUAUUUAUAAAGUGUGUUUUAUGCAUGAUGAUAUUCAAAUAUGUUUAUGAAUGAUUUUAUAAGAAUGUUAUUUUAUGAGUUAUGAAUAAGAUACGAAACAUGAUAAAUAAAAGUGUAACAGGUCCUGGCAGUUAGUGGGGUUACUAUUUCUAGGUCGUGCACGUACCAUCGUACAGCUGGACACCCAACAAGGGAGAAUGAUGCUUGAGGGUUACCGCAAACUAAAAGAGAAACUAUUUAGGUACGAGCGUAUGUCCAACAAGGGAGAGUGCUCCUUGAGAACUAUCGCAAGGUACGAAGAAGAUCAUGGGAUGCCUUAGAGUGCGGAUGCAACCAUCAAAUUCACGAUCGAUGUUUAGUAAAGAUAACUAUGUCUCACUAGUAAUAAUGUAUGUAUUAAUUAAACUCUAAGUUUAAUUUAAAGUAUUGAGUUAGAUUUUAAUAUUAAUGUUUAACCAAUGCUAAGAAUAUUUAUUAAGGUUUAUUUAGGUUACUAUAUAAAUAUUAAAGAAUUAAUUGAAGUUAAGUAUGUUUACUGUUA